AACGAACGCUGGCGGCAUGCCUAACACAUGCAAGUCGCACGAAGCCUUCGGGCUUAGUGGCGCACGGGUGCGUAACGCGUGGGAAUCUGCCCUUGGGUUCGGAAUAACAGUUAGAAAUGACUGCUAAUACCGAAUGAUGUCUUCGGACCAAGGAUUUAUCGCCCAAGGAUGAGCCCGCGUCGGAUUAGCUGGUUGGUGAGGUAAGGCUCACCAAGGCGACGAUCCGUAGCUGGUCUGAGAGGAUGAUCAGCCACACUGGGACUGAGACACGGCCCAGACUCCUACGGGAGGCAGCAGUGGGGAAUAUUGGACAAUGGGCGAAAGCCUGAUCCAGCAAUGCCGCGUGAGUGAUGAAGG
rnacentral:rRNA from 1 species